ACAUGCAAGUCGAACGCAGUAGCAAUACUGAGUGGCAAACGGGUGAGUAUAAUGUGGGAAUCUGCCUUUUGGUUUGGAAUAACACGGGGAAACUUGUGCUAAUACCGAAUAAGCCUUCACAGGGAAAGUUUUAACGCCGAAAGAUGAGCCUGCACUUGAUUAGCUAGUUGGUAAGGUAAAAGCUUACCAAGGCAACGAUCAAUAGCUGUUCUUAGAGGAAGACCAGCCACAUUGGGACUGAGACACGGCCCAGACUCCUACGGGAGGCAGCAGUGGGGAAUCUUGCACAAUGGGGGAAACCCUGAUGCAGCGAUGCCGCGUGAGUGAAGAAGGCCCUUGGGUUGUAAAACUCUUUCGUCGGGGAAGAAAAUGACUGUACCCGAAUAAGAAGGUCCGGC
rnacentral:rRNA from 1 species